rnacentral:rRNA from 1 species
UACGUAGGGCGCAAGCGUUGUCCGGAAUUAUUGGGCGUAAAGAGCUCGUAGGCGGUCUGUCGCGUCCGUUGUGAAAACUCGAGGCUCAACCUCGGGCUUGCAGUGGAUACGGGCAGACUAGAGUGCGGUAGGGGAGACUGGAAUUCCUGGUGUAGCGGUGAAAUGCGCAGAUAUCAGGAGGAACACCGAUGGCGAAGGCGGGUCUCUGGGCAGUAACUGACGCUGAGGAGCGAAAGCGUGGGGAGCGAACAGG